rnacentral:rRNA from 1 species
UACGAAGGGGGCUAGCGUUGCUCGGAAUCACUGGGCGUAAAGCGCACGUAGGCGGACUCUUAAGUCGGUGGUGAAAUCCUGGAGCUCAACUCCAGAACUGCCUUCGAUACUGGGAGUCUCGAGUCCGGGAGAGGUGAGUGGAACUGCGAGUGUAGAGGUGAAAUUCGUAGAUAUUCGCAAGAACACCGGUGGCGAAGGCGGCUCACUGGCCCGGUACUGACGCUGAGGUGCGAAAGCGUGGGGAGCAAACAGG